rnacentral:rRNA from 1 species
UACGGGGGGGGCAAGCGUUGUUCGGAAUUACUGGGCGUAAAGGGCUCGUAGGCGGCCAACUAAGUCAGACGUGAAAUCCCUCGGCUUAACCGGGGAACUGCGUCUGAUACUGGAUGGCUUGAGUUUGGGAGAGGGAUGCGGAAUUCCAGGUGUAGCGGUGAAAUGCGUAGAUAUCUGGAGGAACACCGGUGGCGAAGGCGGCAUCCUGGACCGACACUGACACUGAGGAGCGAAAGCCAGGGGAGCAAACGGGG